AGCGAACGCUGGCGGCAGGCCUAACACAUGCAAGUCGAACGAAUUCUUCGGACAUAGUGGCGGACGGGUGAGUAACACGUGGGAACGUGCCUUUAGGUUCGGAAUAACUCAGGGAAACUUGUGCUAAUACCGAAUGUGCCCUUCGGGGGAAAGAUAUAUCGCCUUUAGAGCGGCCCGCGUCCGAUUAGCUAGUGGGUGAGGUAAAGGCUCACCAAGCCGACGAUCAGUAGCUGGUCUGAGAGGAUGAUCAGUCACAUUGGAACUGAGACACGGACUAAAGUCGUACGGAGGGCAGCAGGGCGGAAUUUUGCGCAAUGGGCGAAAGCAUGACGAAGCCAUGCCGCGUGAUUGAUGAAGGUCUUAGGAUUAUAAAAUUCUUUCACCGGGGAGGAUAAUGUCGGAACCCGGAGAAGAAGCCCCGGCUAACUUCGUGCCAGCCGCCGCCGUAACAC
rnacentral:rRNA from 1 species